UACGAGUACCUCAAGCGUUAUCCGGAUUUACUGGGCGUAAAGAGUCUGUAGGUGGUCAGAAAAGUUUCUGGUUAAAACUUCAGAGCUUAACUUUGGAGAUGCUAGAAAAACUCUCUGACUAGAGGGUGUCAAAGGCUGUUAGAACCGACGGUGUAGGGGUGAAAUCCGUUGAUAUCGUCGGGAAUACCAAAAGCGAAGGCAUUCAGCUGGGGCAACCCUGACACUGAGAGACGAAAGCGUGGGGA
rnacentral:rRNA from 1 species